GCAAGAAACCCAGCUCUACCGCCUAAAACCCAUGUAACAACUUUGUUUAACAAAAUAAAACAUUUUAAACACCCAGUAAAGGCGAUUAAAAAGUGUCUAAGAGCCUUAGAAACAGUACCGCAAGGGAACAGUGAAAUAGAAGUGAAAUAAUUUUAAAGCACCAAUAAAGCAGAGCUUAAACCUCGUACCUUUUGCAUCAUGGUCUAGCCAGUCUAAUCAAGCAAAAAGAAAUUUAAGUUUGACUCCCCGAAACUAAGUGAGCUACUUCAAAACAGCCUAAAGGGCCAACCCAUCUCUGUUGCAAAAGAGUGGGAAGAUUUUUAAGUAGGGGUGACAGACCUACCGAACUUAGAGAUAGCUGGUUAUUCAGGAAAAGGAUCUUAGUCCUACCUUAAGCCCCCCCCCCCCCCCCCCCCCACUGAAUGAUUCUAUAAUACACAUAGAAAACUGUAUGCUAGAACUAGUAAUAAGAAGAAGACCUUCUCCUAAAUAUAAGUGUGAGCCAGAAUGAACAGCUCGCUGGCAUAUAACGCAACUGAAUCAAUAGUAGCAACUACACAAGAAAACCCUACCAAAACACGCGUCAACCUUACACUAGCAUAUUACAGGAAAGAUUAAAGAGAAGGAAGGAACUCGGCAAACCACUACCCCGCCUGUUUACCAAAAACAUCGCCUUUUGAAAUAGAUAUAAAAGGUCCAGCCUGCCCAGUGACUAAAUUAAACGGCCGCGGUACCCUAACCGUGCAAAGGUAGCGCAAUCACUUGUUCUUUAAAUAAGGACUAGUAUGAACGGCAUCACGAGGGUUAUACUGUCUCCCUCCUCCAAUCAAUGAAACUGACCCCCCCGUGAAGAGGCGGGGAUAAUUAUAUAAGACGAGAAGACCCCUUGGAGCUUAAAACUCAGAACCAACUACCUAAUCUCACCCCAUCAUUAACCGGGUAGCCUCUGGUUUCUAGUUUUCGGUUGGGGCGACCACGGAGUAAAACAAAACCUCCACGAUGAAUGAACCAACUUUCCUAAUCACAGAGCAACAGCUCAAAGAAUCAAAAAAUUGACAUAAUUGACCCAAUUAAUUUUGAUCAACGAACUAAGUUACCCUGGGGAUAACAGCGCAAUCCACUUCAAGAGCCCCUAUCGACAAGUGGGUUUACGACCUCGAUGUUGGAUCAGGGUAUCCUAGUGGUGCAG
rnacentral:rRNA from 1 species